AAUAGAUACCCCGGUAGUCCACGCCGUAAACGAUGAGUGCUAAGUGUUGGGGGGUUUCCGCCCCUCAGUGCUGCAGCUAACGCAUUAAGCACUCCGCCUGGGGAGUACGGUCGCAAGACUGAAACUCAAAGGAAUUGACGGGGGCCCGCACAAGCGGUGGAGCAUGUGGUUUAAUUCGAAGCAACGCGAAGAACCUUACCAGGUCUUGACAUCCCGGUGACCACUAUGGAGACAUAGUUUCCCCUUCGGGGGCAACGGUGACAGGUGGUGCAUGGUUGUCGUCAGCUCGUGUCGUGAGAUGUUGGGUUAAGUCCCGCAACGAGCGCAACCCUUAUUCUUAGUUGCCAUCAUUCAGUUGGGCACUCUAAGGAGACUGCCGGUGAUAAACCGGAGGAAGGUGGGGAUGACGUCAAAUCGUCAUGCCCCUUAUGACCUGGGCUACACACGUGCUACAAUGGACGGUACAAACGGUUGCCAACCCGCGAGGGGGAGCUAAUCCGAUAAAACCGUUCUCAGUUCGGAUUGUAGGCUGCAACUCGCCUACA
rnacentral:rRNA from 1 species